UGGGGGAUAUUGCACAAUGGGCGAAAGCCUGAUGCAGCGACGCCGCGUGGGGGAUGAAGGCCUUCGGGUUGUAAACUUCUUUUGCUCUGAACAAGGCGCACCAUGGGGUGUGUUGAGUGUAGGGGUUGAUUAGCGCCGGCUAACUACGUGCCAGCAGCCGCGGUAAUACGUAGGGCGCGAGCGUUGUCCGGAAUUAUCGGGCGUAAAGGGCUUGUAGGUGGCUGGUUGCGUCUGUCGUGAAAGCUCAUGGCUUAACUGUGGGUUUGCGGUGGGUACGGGCUGGCUUGAGUGCAGUAGGGGAGGCUGGAAUUCCUGGUGUAGCGGUGGAAUGCGCAGAUAUCAGGAGGAAUACCGGUGGCGAAGGCGGGUCUCUGGGCUGUUACUGACACUGAGGAGCGAAAGCAUGGGGAGCGAACAGG
rnacentral:rRNA from 1 species